UUCGGGAUAGAAAUCCCAUGCUUCUCAAUAUAUAGUUUUGUAUAUUAAACUAUACUCUGUGUUAUUCAAUCAAUCUUGCAUUUAGGAAAAUAUGGGAUUUUCCUGGGGUUAACAUAUAUCAAGUAAUUGAACUGUAACGAAAGAUAACCAAACUAACUUUACAUAAGAAAAUAUGGGAUUUUCUUGGAUAACAAACCUUUUUGGAAAACUAAAGGAAACCGAUACAUUUUCAUAAAACAAAACCGCUUAUGAACUCACCAGCUUUAUGAUGAUUUUCAAACUGCUUGUAUUCUCAGGUCCAAGUUAGACAGGUACCCGGCGAUAUCUUUUGGUGAAGACGGAGUGCUCAGAAGACUCGUCUCAACUUUUUUUUAUAUGAUAUAUGUAUAACACUUGUACAAUUUACUUUUGAAACAAAUGUAAACUUUCAAAUAUAUGUAAUGUAAUGGUUGUUUACUGUGAUUACUAUGUACAUUGGAUUUGAUACUCAACAUGGAGUCAACCCCGGUUAUGUUUCUGCCUUUGGUUUUCGGGGUGUGACAAUUACUAUGGAUUUCGUGACCAAGUUACCGAAGACUGCAUAAGGUUUAGAUGUUAUAUCGGUAAUGGUCGAUAGAUUAACAAAAUCCUGUUAUUUCCUACCAACAAAGGAAUCUUACAAUAUGGAAAUAUUGACGCAAAUUUACAUCAAGGAAAUCGUGAGACUCCACGGAGUACCAGUAUCUAUUAUCUCAGAUCAAGACAGUAGAUUUACUUCACGAUUUUGGCAAUCGAUUCAAAAGGGAAUGCGAACACGAUAAGAUAUGAGCACUGUCUACCACCCUCAAACGGAUGGGCAGAGCGAACGUACCAUUCAGAUGCUAGAGGUGUAACAGCCCGGAUUCCCAGGUAUUAUUUAUUCUUCUUAAUUUUCGUGUUUUGUGAGGAGACUCGGCGAGUUGGAGCUCAACUCGCCGAGUAUUAUCGCGGUUUGGGAAAGGGUAUGAGACCUAUUUAAAGGCGCUUAUGGCCGUCAUUUGUGGCCACCAAUCCCAGAGAGAACCCUAAAAGAGUCCUUGAGCGUUUUGUGAGAGAAAAGAGGAAGAUCCAUGAUUAUUUGUGGGUGAUUUUGCAUAUAGAAGAGGAUAUAGAAGAGGAUCAGGGCAAGAGGAGACCAAAGGAGGUGCUAAUCUAGUGAUUCCUGAGUCCAGAGACUUCAUUUGAGGUAACCAUUCGUUCCUUUCUCAGCCCUUGGUGUAAAUCUUAGAGUUAGGGCUUCUUUGUGGAAUGAUUCAUGGAGUAAUUGGCCUCUUUUUGUGUUGAUGCUUUAGAUCUGGACCCAAAGAGGUCCAGAGACUCUUUUCCCUCAAGCUUUAUGAGUGUUAAUGGAGGCCAUGAGCUUAGAAUAGCAUUCUAGAGACCAUAUCAUCAAAUAAGGCCUUUAGACCUUUGCAUGAGCACCAAGAUUGUAACUUUAUGUGAUGAAUGUGCUUGGAAGGACUGGAUCUAUGAGUUACUGGGACGGAUCUGACCUCAGGAGUGAGUUUGAGUUCAUGCAUGGCUUAGACUCGCCGAGUCCGAAGAACAGACUCGGCGAGUAGCAUGAAGAUUGUCCAUAACCACUCAGCGAGUGGUCUUNNNNNNNNNNNNNNNNNNNNNNNNNNNNNNNNNNNNNNNNNNNNNNNNNNNNNNNNNNNNNNNNNNNNNNNNNNNNNNNNNNNNNNNNNNNNNNNNNNNNNNNNNNNNNNNNNNNNNNNNNNNNNNNNNNNNNNNNNNNNNNNNNNNNNNNNNNNNNNNNNNNNUCUAGGGAGUCAAUGAGCACGUAUAGACUCGCCGAGUCGCUCUAGUGCACUCGCNNNNNNNNNNNNNNNNNNNNNNNNNNNNNNNNNNNNNNNNNNNNNNNNNNNNNNNNNNNNNNNNNNNNNNNNNNNNNNNNNNNNNNNNNNNNNNNNNNNNGCUUGAAUGCAUAGAUUACAUGACACAAAAUUUCCAGUUGUGACAGAAAACCAGGUGCCAAACAACACCAAGGAUGGAGCCAGUUAUACCUGUUAUGGAUGUGGGAAGACCAGACAUUUCUGGCGAAAGGGUCCCAAUGCAAACAACCAGGCGACAGGAGCACAAGAAAGAGUGAUGACAAUGGGACAAGGCGAUGUCGUCCAAGACCCCACAGUUGUUACCGGUACGUUUCUUCUUAACAACACCUACGAUUGCAUCCUAUUCGAUAGCGGAGUAGAGCGAAUCUUUGUUAGUAACAAGUUUAAACAUUUACUAAGAAAAUAACCCUAGAAGCUCAAUGAAGCCUUUACGGUGGAAAUGGCUAAUGGGAAAACAGAAUCAAAUAGGGAUAUCUAUGUAGGGUGCACAUUAACAUUAAACCAUCACACCUUCCAAAUAAACUUGAUACCCAUGAAUAUUAGGAGUUUCGAUGUGACCAUCGGCAUGGAUUGGUUAAGCCCCCUUCAUGCUGAUAUUAUGUGCCACGAGAAGGUCGUUCGCCUUCAUCUUCCUAACCACGAAACCCUAAUCGUCUAUGGAGAUAAAUCCAAUGUCAACCUUCGUCUUAUCUCAUGCAUUAAAGCACAGAAGUGCUUGCAUAAGAAGAACAACGCAUUCCUUGCUCAUGUCCUGGACAAGUCCAUGGAAGAAAUAAACCUUCAAGAGAUCCCAAUGGCGUGUGACUUUCGGGACGUGUUUCUCGAGGAUCUCCCGGGGAUACCCCCUGACAGACAUGUCGAAUUUCAGAUUGACCUUGUACUAGGAGCCACUCCAAUCGCCUAAUCACCCUAUAGGUUGGCUCCUGCGGAGAUGCAGGAAUUGUCAAGUAAACUCAUAGAACUCUUAAACAAAGGAUUCAUAUGACCCAGCUUCUCACCAUGGGGAGCUCCGAUUCUUUUCAUUAAAAAGAAAGAUGGAUCCUUCCGAAUAUGCAUAGACUAUAGGGAGCUGAAUAAGCUCACUAUCAAGAAUCGCUAUCCACUUCCACGAAUCGAUGAUUUAUUCGACCAACUUCAAGGAGCAAAUUACUUCUCUAAGAUAGACUUGCAUUCCGGCUAUCAUCAACUCAAGGUCCGAGACGAGGAUAUUUUGAAGACCGCUUUCCGAACUUCUUAUGGACGUUAUGAAUUUUUUGUAAUGCCCUUCGGUCUAGUAAUUGCUCCCGCCGCAUUUGUGGACCUAAUGAAUCGAGUAUGCCGACCAUUCCUCGACAACUUUGUCAUUUUUUUCAUCGACGAUAUCCUAGUCUAUUCUCGAAGCGAAGAGGAGCAUAGUCGACAUCUCCGGCAAAUCUUGGAAACCCUGCGAGCUGAAAAGUUGUACGUGAAACUCUCCAAGUGUGAAUUCUGGCUUCGGAGUGUACACUUUUUGGGUCAUGUUGUUAGUAAAGAAGGGAUACAUGUGGAUCCUUCUAAGAUUAAGGCCAUUAAAGGAUGAGCAGUCCCAUCAACACCCAUGGAAAUUCGCUAAUGUAUGGGUCUCGCAAGCUAUUAGAGAAGAUUUAUCCAGAAUUUCUCCUGGAUGGCCAAACCUCUUACCGCACUCACUCAAAAAGGAGUACCACUCAAAUGGAUCGAGAAGCAAGAAGUUUCCUUCCAGACCCUGAAGAAAGCCCUCUGUCGUGUACCCGUACUAUCUUUACCAUAUGGAACAGAAGACUUCGUGGUAUACUGCGAUGCCUCAAAUCAGGGUUUAGGUUGUGUACUUAUGCAGCGUGGAAGGGUAAUAGCAUACGCAUCAAGACAACUCAAGACACAUGAAGUGAAUUAUACCACACACGACCUCAAACUGGGAGUCGUGGUCUUUGCUUUGAAAAUUUGGAGGCACUACAUUUAUGGUACCAAGUGCACCAGCUUCACGCACCACAAAAGCCUCCAACACAUCUUCAAUCAAAAGGAACUAAACAUGAGACAACGGAGAUGGGUUGAACUGCUUAACGAUUAUGAGUGUGAAAUCAAGUACCACCCAGGCAAGGCUAACGUAGUAGCCGAUGCAUUCAGCCGAAAGGAAGACUCGAUUCGUCGUGUGAGAACCCUUCCUAGAACUAUUCAAUCCCACCUAACCUCACAAGUCAAGGAAGUCCAAUUGGAAGCGAUGAAACCAAAAAACUUUGCAAGUGAAUCAUAGCAUGGGAUGGAAAAGAAUCUUGAAGUUAAGGAGGGUGGAGCGUAUUAUUUCAUGAAUAGAAUCUGGAUCCCUAAAUUUGGGGAUUUCCGAGAUGUAGUCAUGAAUGACGCUCACAAGACACGAUACUCCAUCCACCCAGGAGCUGACAAAAUGUACCUAGAUAUCAAACAACACUAUUGGUGGCCGAACAUAAAGGAAGAAAUCGCCACUUACGUGGCCAAGUGCCUCACUUGCGCCAAAGUAAAAGUGGAAUAUCAGAAGCCCUCAGGGUUAUUACAACAGCAGGUAAUACCUGAGUGGAAAUGGGAGAGGAUUACUGUAACAACCCGAAGUUGUUCAUCGCCGAAAACCCAUUCUACCCGUAUAACUCGCCGUAUAUCGAAACGUUUUGAAGUCGUUUUUGGGUUUAGUUAGUUAAAUUUAUACGUUUAUUAUAAUCCAAUGAGUGUCCAAACCCUUUAGGAACUCAUGAAACUAGCCCAAAAAUGUUUAUUUCAAAAAGUUAGAAACGUCCCCGUCGGGUGACGGACACAUAAUCGGGUGCGACCUAAAGCCUCGUUUAAGGCCAGUAUCGGGUAGAAUUCCACCGUGUCCAAGUUUUAGGACCUAUAUAAACAUGUUUAAACAUUCAUUUGAAGCUUUUUCUUUCUCUCACUACUCUCUCUCUAACCUCUCUCCUAAAUCCAAGUUUAAGGGUCCAAAACUCAAUUUUAAGGCCUCAAAUCUUUAAGGUACCUUCCUAAACUCAUUGUAUAGCAUCUUUGACCUUCAAAUUCGAGAUUAAAUCAUGAAUUAAGUCCUUGUAUAUGAUUUUACGGCCCUGGAAGGAGCUUAGGCCGUAAACUCAUAAUAAGAGGGUUUUUAUGCCUUUAAACCCCUCCUAAACAAUUUUGGGACUUAGAUAUGGCUUAAUGACUUUAUGGAAUGGACCUAGAAUGCCUUAAUCUAUAAUUUGGGGACUUGUAUAUGAGUUUACGGCCAAGGAUGGUGUUUAGGCCGUAAACUCAUGAUUAAAGGGUUUUUAAGCCCUUAAACCCUUCCUAAACCACAACAAGACAUGGAUAUGACUUCUAGAAUAAUUGCUUUAGCCUUGGAACACUUUAAACAUAAUUUUUGGGGGACUUAUGUGAGUUUACAGCCAAGGCAUGUGCUUGGGCUGUAAACUCCUUAAAACAUGGUGUAAAAUCAAUUUCAAGGUGUUAGAAAGCCAUCCAACACCACCAAAACCCUUGGAAUAAAUCAUAGGACCAACCAAAAAUAGUUUAAGGACCUUAAAAACAUCCAAACUCUCCAUUUGAGAGUUUACGGCCAUAGAAGGUGUUCCAUGUCCGUAAACUCCUAAAAACAUGUCAUUUUAUGCCUAAAAAUUUAUGUAAGGCCUUGGAACAAUUUUAGCAAUCACAUGUGAUUUGUUUGGAACCAAUAACACACUUAUUCAUGGAGAUUUGAGAGUUUACGGCCAUGAGUCCUAUGCUAGGCCGUAAACUCCCUUAAAUAUGUCCAUUUGGUGUUUAAAAAUUAUUUCAAGCCCUUAAAUCAAAUCUAGAAAUUAUUCCCUAAGUGUUUGAAGCCAAAUUGCACCAUAAACUACCCCACCAUGAGUUUACGGCCGUAAACUCAUGGGGAGAGGGUCAUUAGGGCCAUAAACUCCCUAAGGAGUGUUCUUUUGGAGUCUCAAUUCAAUAUCCUAACUAUAUGUGUCCCCAAAUGUCACCCGGGUCCCUCCAAACACUUGUAUCGGGGUGUUUUCACUACUAGAAGUAAUUGUCCCUAUCAAAUAAUCAAUCUAAGUCCUAAUUAGAUACAAAUGUGUAUCUUUACAUUAUACUUAGGAACCUCGUGCGUUUGCAAGUCCCAGAGCAAUGUUUAGCAUCCGAAAUCGUCACGUUUCUCGUUCGGUGAGUUCAUACCCCUACGUCUUUUUUCUGUGAUUUUCAAUGUUUUCAGGGGGGGAAUACAAGCAACUAUAACUGUUUUUGAAUCAUAACAUUGAUAUAUUUCAAUUAAUAUCUGGAAAAUUUAUAAACACUUUUACUCCUUAUGUAUUAUGCUGAGCAUAAGGAAUGAUUUAUCAAUUACAACUAAAUGGAUUUUAGUUAAGAAAAUAACCAAACUAAUCAAAUUAUUAUGGGAAUAAUUUGGGAUUCUGUAGUUCUCUUUAUAUCAUGUACUGAUAUCUAUAUAAAGUUAUUAGAUAAACUAUGUCUGAUUCAGUUUAUCUCCGUAUCAAUUGAAUGUAUUUCCAGAUAGUUUCUUGUUUGUAUCCAUUUUCACUGUAUUAUGUUUCAAAAUCUUUGUAUGUUUGAUAUCGUAUGAGAAUCCUGUGAAUAGUUUAGUACUAGUUUGUGAGUAGUCACUACCCUUUAUGGAUGAUCAGUAAAUCCUCCCCAGAAGUGUAACCAGAGUCUCCUGGAGGGAGAGCGAGGAAUUUGUGAAUAGAUCUAUUCGGGACUGACAAUCCCACACCUUAACUGCUAGCUACAGUUAGGCGGGCACGCCUGGGGUGACAAAUUCUGGAUAUCGUCCGACGUCUGACUAACGUCAAGGAGGUCUCGUUGUCGUAUCAGCAUGGUUACGCGACUCACAAUAUGUAUUAAUAUAAGUUUAUUCACAGCUUUGGUUUUAGAAUCUAUAUCUAGUUCGGGAUAGUGAUCCCAUGGUUUUAUCAAACUAUUUUGCAUCUAGUCCGGGAUGGUAGUCCCAUGGUUUUCAGUCUAUCGAACUUGUAUCUAGUAUGGGAUGAUAGUCCCAUGAUUUCGAUCUAUAGCUUGUACGGGAUGGUAAUCCCAUGGUUUUGAAACUAUAUCUAGUACGGGGUAAUAAUCCCAUGGCUUUAUCCAUCUAUCUUAUACCUAGUUUGGGAUAGUGAUCCCAUGGUUUUAUCAAACAAUCUUAUAUCUAGUUCGGGAUAGUAUUCCCAUGGUUUUUAAUCUAAAAUUUCAAGUAUAUCAAACUAUCUUGUAACUAGUUUGGGAUGACAGUCCCAAGGUUUUCAAACUACUUUCUAUCUACAAUUCGUGUUUAUUAUAGUAUUUCAUAUCUAAUUCGGGAUAGAAAUCCCAUGCUUCUCAAUAUAUAGUUUUAUGUAUUAAACUAUACUCUGUGUUUUUCAAUCAAUCUUGCAUUUAGGAAAAUAUGGGAUUUUCCUGGGGUUAACAUAUAUCGAGUAAUUGAACUGUAACGAAAGAUAACCAAACUAACUUUACAUAAGAAAAUAUGGGAUUUUCUUGGAUAACAAACCUUUUCGGAAAACUAAAGGAAACCGAUACAUUUUCAUAAAACAAAACCGCUUAUGAACUCACCAGCUUUAUGCUGAUUUUCAAACUGCUUGUAUUCUCAGGUCCAAGUUAGACAGGUAC
rnacentral:lncRNA from 1 species